rnacentral:rRNA from 1 species
UACGUAGGGUGCAAGCGUUAAUCGGAAUACUGGCGUAAAGCGUGCGCAGGCGGUUUUGUAAGUUUGUCGUGAAAGCCCCGGGCUCAACCUGGGAACUGGCGGAUGAAGACUGCAAGGCUUGAAUCUGGCAGAGGGGGUAGAAGUUCCGACGGUGUAGCAGUGAAAUGCGUAGCAGAGUGUGGAGAACACCGAUGGCGAAGGGCAGCCCCCUGGUCAAGAUGAACGCUCGCUGCACGAAGCGUCGGG